GACGUCGAUAUUCGACGUCAUAAACACGAACAACUUUGGUGUUUAUGACGUCGAUAUGCGACGUCAUAAACACGAUCAACUUUGGUGUUUAUGACGUCGAUAUUCGACGUCAUAAACACGAUCAACUUUGGUGUUUAUGACGUCGAUAUUCGACGUC